UCGACCGGGGCGACAGCAAUAUGAAGGUCAGGCUGAAGACCUUACCCGAUUAGCUGAGAGGUGGUGCAUGGCCGUCGUCAGUUCGUACUGUGAAGCAUCCUGUUAAGUCAGGCAACGAGCGAGACCCACGUCCACAGUUGCCAGCAUACCCUCCGGGGUGAUGGGUACACUGUGGGGACCGCCGCUGCUAAAGCGGAGGAAGGAGUGGGCAACGGUAGGUCAGUAUGCCCCGAAUCUCCCGGGCUACACGCGGGCUACAAUGGUUGGUACAAUGGGCAUCUACCCCGAAAGGGGAAGGAAAUCUCUUAAAGCCAAUCGUAGUUCGGAUUGAGGGCUGCAACUCGCCCUCAUGAAGCUGGAAUCCGUAGUAAUCGCGUUUCAACAGAACGCGGUGAAUACGUCCCUGCUCCUU
rnacentral:rRNA from 1 species